CUGAAAAUAAUGCCGAAUCCCCGUCAGGGGAGCCGGGGAACCACACAGAGUUCUCUGGGGUGAAUCCUCCGCUAGAGCGUCGCUACGACGUGGAGUGGGGGAGGGAAGCUUCCGAAGAUCCCAACCCGACAGCUAACUCGGUAGGCACAAGGAAGAUCUGGA
rfam:Corynebacterium pollutisoli strain VDS genome assembly, contig: Ga0138996_101